rnacentral:rRNA from 1 species
AUUGGACGCUGGCGGCAGGCCUAACGCAUGCAAGUCGGGCGGAUGAAGGGAGCUUGCUCCUGGAUUCAGCGGCGGACGGGUGAGUAAUGCCUAGGAAUCUGCCUGGUAGUGGGGGAUAACGUCCGGAAACGGGCGCUAAUACCGCAUACGUCCUGAGGGAGAAAGUGGGGGAUCUUCGGACCUCACGCUAUCAGAUGAGCCUAGGUCGGAUUAGCUAGUUGGUGGGGUAAAGGCCUACCAAGGCGACGAUCCGUAACUGGUCUGAGAGGAUGAUCAGUCACACUGGAACUGAGACACGGUCCAGACUCCUACGGGAGGCAGCAGUGGGGAAUAUUGGACAAAGGGCGAAAGACUGAUCCAGCCAUGCCGCGUGUGUGAAGAAGGUCUUCGGAUUGUAAAGCACUUUAAGUUGGGAGGAAGGGCAGUAAGUUAAUACCUUGCUGUUUUGACGUUACCAACAGAAUAAGCACCGGCUAACUUCGUG